ACUCAAAGGAAUAGACGGGGACCCGCACAAGCGGUGGAGCAUGUGGUUUAAUUCGAUGCAACGCGAAGAACCUUACCUGGCCUUGACAUCCUGUGAACCCUGAAGAGAUUCGGGGGUGCCGCAAGGAGCACAGAGACAGGUGCUGCAUGGCUGUCGUCAGCUCGUGUCGUGAGAUGUUGGGUUAAGUCCCGCAACGAGCGCAACCCUUGUCCUUAGUUGCCAGCAUUAAGUUGGGCACUCUAAGGAGACCGCCGGUGACAAACCGGAGGAAGGUGGGGAUGACGUCAAGUCAUCAUGGCCUUUAUGGCCAGGGCUACACACGUGCUACAAUGGUAAGUACAGAGGGAAGCCAACCGGCGACGGGGAGCCAAUCCCAGAAAACUUAUCGUAGUCCGGAUCGGAGUCUGCAACUCGACUCCGUGAAGUCGGAAUCGCUAGUAAUCGCAGAUCAGCAUUGCUGCGGUGAAUACGUUCCCGGGUCUUGUACACACCGCCCGU
rnacentral:rRNA from 1 species